UUGCUGGUUUGUACAAACCAUGAAAUUCCAUUUUGGCCAUCAGGGACAGAAUUGCGGAAAGAAGUGUUCUGUUGGUUGCAUCCCCAUAGAGAAAGCAUGGCUGUAGUCUGAAACUGGCCAGAAUGAAUUCUAAGCAGCACCAGCUUGUGGUCCUGCAUAAAAUAUGCUCUGAAAUAUCCUGGCAACAGAAUACAUAACAUAACAACAGAUCAAGGAGAAAUGUACAUUAAAGGCCACAGAAGUCGGAUGAGAAACUAGAACUGGUGUCUCUUGGCAGGACAGAAGAGGUGGGGAUUUCCAAACUGUUCAAACCACCAUGCAUCAAAUGUAGCCCCUUCCAGAGGCAGCUUUUAUACUAUGCAUCAACAGUCAACAGCUUAGGCAAACACUAACAGCAGCAACCUCUGCAUGACAAGAAGUGAUCACACUCCAUUGACCUGCUCUGGGCCAACACCGCGGACACUGAAAAUAGCUAAUAAAAAAGCUACAAAUAUGCCAGGAAACUGCUUUAUCAGAGCUCACCAUUAUCUUUAUAUUUUAAGACAAAUAAUGAAAACUUUAUCACAUACAUAUACAAAUACAGUACACUUACAAGA